UGAGGAAUAUUGGUCAAUGGGCGGAAGCCUGAACCAGCCAAGUCGCGUGAGGGAAGACGGUCCUAUGGAUUGUAAACCUCUUUUGCAGGGGAGCAAGACCUGUACGUGUAACAGGUUGGAGAGUACCCUGAGAAAAACGCAAUCGGCUAACUCCGUGCCAGCAGCCGCGGUAAUACGGAGGAUGCGAGCGUUAUCCGGAUUUAUUGGGUUUAAAGGGUGCGUAGGCGGGCUGGUAAGUCAGCGGUAAAAUGCGGUGCUCAACGCCGUAAGUGCCGUUGAAACUGCCGGUCUUGAGUGAGCGAGAAGUAUGCGGAAUGCGUGGUGUAGCGGUGAAAUGCAUAGAUAUCACGCAGAACUCCGAUUGCGAAGGCAGCAUACCGGCGCUCAACUGACGCUGAGGCACGAAAAGCGUGGGGAUCGAACAGGAUUAGAUAGCC
rnacentral:rRNA from 1 species